AUUGAACGCUGGCGGCAGGCCUAACACAUGCAAGUCGAGCGAGCGGCGGACGGGUGAGUAAUGUCUGGGAAACUGCCUGAUGGAGGGGGAUAACUACUGGAAACGGUAGCUAAUACCGCAUACCAUCAGAUGUGCCCAGGUGGGAUUAGCUAGUAGGUGGGGUAACGGCUACCCUAGGCGAAUGUCCCUAGCUGGUAUGAGAGGAUGACCAGCCACACUGGAACUGAGACACGUUCCAGACUCCGACGUGAGGCAGCAGGGGGGAAUAUUGCACAAUGGGCGCAAGCCUGAUGCAGCCAUGCCGCUUGUGUGAAGAAGGCCUUCGGGUUGUAAAGCACUUUCAGCGGGGAGGCGUUACCCGCAGAAGAAGCACCGGCUAACUCCGUGCCAGCAGCCGCGGUAAUAC
rnacentral:rRNA from 1 species